UACGAAGGGGGCUAGCGUUGUUCGGAAUUACUGGGCGUAAAGCGCGCGCAGGCGGCUAUCCAAGUCAGUGGUGAAAGCCCGGAGCUCAACUCCGGAACUGCCAAUUGAAAACUGUUUAGCUUGAGGACGAGAGAGGUGAGUGGAAUUCCCAGUGUAGAGGUGAAAUUCGUAGAUAUUGGGAAGAACACCGGUGGCGAAGGCGGCUCACUGGCUCGUAUCUGACGCUCAGGCGCGACAGCGUGGGGAUCAAACAGG
rnacentral:rRNA from 1 species